rnacentral:rRNA from 1 species
CGGAUUGUAGUCUGCAACUCGACUACAUGAAGCUGGAAUCGCUAGUAAUCGCGAAUCAGAAUGUCGCGGUGAAUACGUUCCCGGGUCUUGUACACACCGCCCGUCACACCAUGGGAGUUGGCAACGCCCGAAGUCAGUGACCCAACCUUAACAGGAGGGAGCUGCCGAAGGCGGGGCUGAUAACUGGGGUGAAGUCGUAACAAGGUAUC